UGGUGGAGGCGCCGGGUAGGUUCUAUUUCUGGAGAGAGAGAGAGGUAGAUUUUUAUGUUUAUUAUUAAAUUAGUUUCAGCUUCUGAUAGCAGGUUAUUAAGAGUUUACUUGAGGAGAGGAUUACGGAAUUUUAGUCUAUAGUGGAGGAAGUCUUUGAGAUUUUUUUUUUGACGUAACAGAUGUUUAUUUGAGGAUACUUGUAAGGAUAAAGUUUAUAGUGAUAAGUUGUUUUAAGUCGUUGAAUUUAUUGUAGAUUUAUAUCGGGGAUUAUUACGUGAGGAGAAUACGUUAUAAGUUAAAUGCUUAUUAGAGAUAAUGCAAGUGGUUUAAUUUAAUUGAAGUUCAUUUUAAGAUUGUAGGUUAAGAGAAUUAUAAUUUAAAAUAAAAAUUUUUUGUCGUAAAUAGGAAUUAUUUUCAAGUGAAGUUUGUUUUGUUGUCGUGCGCGUAGGAGACGAGACGUACGAAUUAAAUCAGUCGAGGGAAGGAUAAACGUUAGAAAGGAAUUAAAGAGAAAACGAGAGUUUAUGUAAAAGAGAGUUAUAGAAUUUAUAGUGAUGUUUUGUUUUAAUUAGAAAAAUGUUGAGAGUUGUUUCAGAACGACACGUCAGUGGACGUGGCAGAAUGAACACGUGACGGGGAGGUGCUGAGACCUAGCGGAGAACGGAGGAACCGCAAGCGAGGGUUGGCGCACCUGAUGGAAUUCGGUGACGUCACGGGCUCAUACGGAGACGUGGAAGGCCGUGACCUUGUUUUGAUCAGCUGUACGGUAACUUAGCGAUAAGAAAAUAGACUAUUGGUUAAAUAAAUUUAAAUUUAAGUGUGUUUUAGAAGAAGAGGAACUUUCAGUAUAUUCCUUAAGAUGAGCUGAGCAGCAGUCCAGUUUACAAGAUGACAAGAGUUCGAGAGACAAGAUACAAGAUCACUGAAACAAGAGCCAAGACUGAAGAUUCAAGAGAAGAGAAAGCUGGCAGCCAUGGACUUACAAGUGGAGAUUAAUAAGGUCAUGUAAAGUUUUAUUUUUAUUAUGGAAGACAGUAACUGGAGUUUUUUUUUGUUAUAAACAUUAUUUACAGAACUUUUUAGGUUAUAGUAAUGUAAUGGAACUAGUGAGUUGUGGUAGCUGUCAAAAAGAACUAAUACCUUAAGUUUAAUUUUUAAAGUUAAUUUUCUUAAUUUACAGAGGGAUUAGUAGUUUUUUUUAAAACCUUAUUUAGGUUGGAAUUUAAAUACAAUAGCUUAUUAUAAAUGUGUACGAACAGUUCAAGUUCACAGUACUGAUAGGUAGGUCAGAUGAUCUUAUUGAUUUUGAUGAUUUGUUGUUUUGAGUUGAUUUUUAAGUGUUGUGAAUUAGACAAUGAAAUAGUUCUGAAAACUUAAAUUAUUUCAAGCUAAGAAAUAGUAAAGUUAAUUGUAACUCAAAGGACACCAGAAUUUAAUUUUUUUUUGAAUUAGUAAUGUUUGAAAAUUUUAUACUUUACAAGAAAGGUUAUAAACAAACAGAUCGGAUGGAACAAGGAUGCAGUAAAUCACAAUUUCAUUUAGAAUUAUUGAUUAGCUUUUGAGGUUAUGAAGUAAAAGUAAUUAUAGUUUAAAAGUUUGAAUAAAAAAAAAUGUUUUUUUUUAUUUGUUUCAAAUAGAAAGUUUAAAAGUUAAUUAGUCAUGAUCUAGGUGGGUGAUGGGGUGGGAAUUGGCCACUCUUUUUCCCUAUAACCUCCCUAACAUGGCCUUCUAUUACAUCUAACAGAAAAAAAAAAGAAGAAAAA